rnacentral:rRNA from 1 species
UACAGAGGUCCCAAGCGUUGUUCGGAUUCACUGGGCGUAAAGGGUGCGUAGGUGGCCAGGUAAGUUUGGUGUGAAAGCUCGGAGCUUAACUCCGAAAAGUCAUUGAAUACUAUCUGGCUGGAGGGUCGGAGGGGAGACUGGAAUUCUCGGUGUAGCAGUGAAAUGCGUAGAUAUCGAGAGGAACACCAGUGGCGAAGGCGAGUCUCUGGACGACUCCUGACACUGAGGCACGAAAGCGUGGGGAGCAAACGGG